UCUACAGAACAAAUAAAACCUGGGGCAGGUGCAGUACAAAUUUCCCCACACUGCUCCAUCAGUGUGCCUUAACCCUGACCUGGAAGAGCAAUCUGUUGGGG
rnacentral:sRNA from 1 species